UUUAUAAAUGCCUCAUGAGCUUAGUUCCACUGUCUUGCUUAAUGUUAAUCUCAUAUUGUUUUGAAUCCUAAAACCUUCUCCAGGUUUAAAGGUCCAAUUCAGCCAUUUGUAUCUCAAUAUCAAAUAAUUUGUGGUUAACAAUGAAAUAUCUUAUUGUGAUUGUUUUCAAUUUAAAAUGGUAAAAACAAACAAAAAAAGCUUCUUAGCGAAGAGUGAUUUCUCAAGCAAGAAGUUUCCUAGGACAGUCUGGGAGGGGUCUGAGUGGGGAGGGGACAACUGAAAAGUAGCUGUUAUUGGCAGAGAGCUUUGUAACUCUCUUUGUUAUUGGUCUAUUAACCAAUUUACCACUUGGUGAUGUCACCGGGCAGUGUCACUGUGCCAUCCCACCACAACAGGCUGGAAUUUCAGGGGAGCUUUUCAAACAGCUCUUAAACUAAAAGGGCAUUAUCAUUUUCACAGUAUUUAUUUAACUGCACUGGGACUUUAAGUAUUGAUUGAAUCCAGAGUAWUGGUGGUAAAGGUCACAGCUUGCUGUACAUGGGGAAAACUCUUCCACUGUCUGAUCCUGUUCAUCUCUGGUUUGAUCCUGUUCAUCUGAUCCUGUUCAUCUCUGGUUUGAUCCUGUUCAUCUCUGGUUUGAUCCUGUUCAUCUGAUCCUGUUCAUCUCUGGUUUGAUCCUGUUCAUCUGAUCCUGUUCAUCUCUGGUCUGAUCCUGUUCAUCUGAUCCUGUUCAUCUGAUCCUGUUCAUCUCUGGUCUGAUCCUGUUCGUCUGAUCCUCUUCACCUGAUCCUGUUCAUUUUUGUUCUGAUCCUGUUCAUCUGAUCCUGUUAAUUUCUGGUCUGAUCCUGUUCAUUUCUGGUCUGAUCCUGUUCAUCUGAUCUUGUUAAUUUCUGGUCUGGUCCUGUUCAUCUGAUCCUGUUAAUUUCUGGUCUGAACCUGUUCAUCUGAUCCUGUUCAUUUCUGGUCUGAUCCUGUUCAUUUCUUGAGCGAUCCUGUUCAAC
rnacentral:lncRNA from 1 species